rnacentral:rRNA from 1 species
GAUGAACGCUAGCUACAGGCUUAACACAUGCAAGUCGAGGGGCAGCACAGAGUGGCAACACUCGGGUGGCGACCGGCGCACGGGUGAGUAACACGUAUCCAACCUGUCCCAUACUCGGGGAUAGCCUUUCGAAAGAAAGAUUAAUACCCGAUGUUACUGAACGAGGGCAUCCUUGUUCAGUCAAAGAGAUUCGGUAUGGGGUGGGGAUGCGUUCCAUUAGCUUGUUGGCGGGGUAACGGCCCACCAAGGCGACGAUGGAUAGGGGUUCUGAGAGGAAGGUCCCCCACAUUGGAACUGAGACACGGUCCAAACUCCUACGGGAGGCAGCAGUGAGGAAUAUUGGUCAAUGGACGAGAGUCUGAACCAGCCAAGUAGCGUGAGGGAUGACUGCCCUAUGGGUUGUAAACUUCUUUUAUAAGGGAAUAAAGUGCACCACGUGUGGUGUUUUGUAUGUACCUUAUGAAUAAGGAUCGGCUAACUCCGUGCCAGCAGCCGCGGUAAUACGGAGGAUCCGAGCGUUAUCCGGAUUUAUUGGGUUUAAAGGGAGCGUAGGCGGCGGGUUAAGUCAGUUGUGAAAGUUUGCGGCUCAACCGUAAAAUUGCAGUUGAUACUGUCCCGCUUGAGUGCGGUAGAGGCAGGCGGAAUU